GAUGAACGCUAGCGGCAGGCUUAAUACAUGCAAGUCGUGGGGCAGCAUGAUGUAGCAAUACAUUGAUGGCGACCGGCAAACGGGUGCGGAACACGUACACAACCUUCCUUUUAGUGGGGAAUAGCCCAGCGAAAUUUGGAUUAAUACCCCAUAAGAUAAUGAGAUGGCAUCAUCUCAUUAUUAAAGCUUCGGCGCUAGAAGUUGGGUGUGCGGCUGAUUAGGUAGUUGGCGGGGUAACGGCGGACCAAGCCUACGAUCAGUAGCUGAUGUGAAGGAAUGAUCAAGCACACGGGAACUGGGACACCGGCCCAACUAGUACGGGAGGCAGAAAUAAGGGAUAAUGGACAAUGGACGCAAGUCUGCUCCAGCCAAGCCGCGUAAAGGAUUAAGGUCCUCUGGAUUGUAAACUUCCGUUAUUUGGGACGAAAAAAGAUCAUUCUGGAUCACUUGACGGUACCUUGAGAAUAAGCACCGGCUAACGACGUGCCAGCAGCCGCCGUAACAC
rnacentral:rRNA from 1 species